UUCACUGACGCAUUGAAUCAUUGUUAAAACUGUUUCUCCCGCGGUAAAACUGGAGAACAUAUAACAAAAAUAGCGCUGGAUAAAGUGUAUAUUUUUUUAUCAGCACUCCAUGGAAACAAAACUUACAAAUGCAUCCUGUCGUUUGUCAUCGACGAAGGCGUUUUUAAUCAGUUCAACAUCUGCACGUGCUACAGAAGCCCGCGGCUGCAUCAGUGGACAGUAAGUGAUUGGGAGCACAGAGGGCCCGUCACCUCACGAGCGAGGUUAAAGACGCCAUGCGGCAACAUCGCAGAUUAAUCCCAGCGUCUCCGCCCGUCAGCGAGAGAUUUACGCGCUCUCUGCAGUAAGAAAGAGGCAGGAUUCUUUGAUCAAUAGAAAGUUCAGAAUAUCACUGCAUUAUUCACUGAAGCCGAAGCAGCUGGUGCCGAAUGUGAAACCUUUUGUUCGUCUGCUUGAGAAUCUCAAAAUACCAUCCCAAUCAUGGCAUCGUUCAGAACAUCUGCAUUUGUUACAGUUGUGAGCCAGACUUCGGUCUUGACGGUUAUCGAUUGCAUAGGAUCUGACAUUAGCAGAAAAUCUCAACUACAGCUUCCUAUUGACGAACAGGCCACAAUAUACACCAUUAGUGCUUCAAACUGUGAUUUCAUAAAUUGUCAUAGGCCUGUCAUCAAAAGCGCCACUGCAUACAUGAAGUCUGGUAUGGAGCGAUCAAAGCGAUUAUCGUGAUAGCACUGCAUUAUUCACUGGAGCAGAAGCAGCUGGUGUCGAAUGCGAAACCUUCAGUUGGGACUGCUUGAGAAUCUCAAAAUAUCUUCUCGAUCGUGGCCAUCGUCCAGAACCGUCUGCGUUUGGAACAGUUGCGAGCCAGACAUCUGUUUUGAUGGCCAUCGAUUGCAUGAUAUGCGUAAAAAUCGGAAUAUCUCAACUACAUGACAAACAAGCCGAUUCCGCUUCACAAAAUACAUUGUUAGUGCUUUAAACUGUGAUACAUUGUUGUAGGAGCGUUGUGGUUGAGUACCAGCUGGAUGGAGACUUGGAAACGAACCACAAAGGCCAAAUCGCUACGGGCGCCCAAGCGUGUUUGCCUUCUCUAGAAGUCAGGCUUUUUGCUGUUUGGAAGUCAAACGCCGUUUGGUAUGUGUUUGUUUUUCUGGGUCUGUGUGUGUCUGUCAACACAGACGGCUCUCGAGGGGGGACGGCCGUCCUCCAGCAGACAGCCAAAGGGCUAAUUACGGAAUAAUAAGGAGGGAGAGAGGACACAUGUGCGGGGCUGCAGCAACCCCCACAACACACACCCGUUACGGCGUGCUCAUGUUAGAGGGGGUAUCGUUCCAAAAAAGGGGGGUCCCAAAGGUCCCUCGCGCCCGUCCGCACACCUAUCGCAUCCCUCUGCGCAGGUGCUGAGGGGGCGGAGAGACAAUUUCCAGCAGAUGAUCCUCGCUCACAAAGCCUGCGGCCCCGCAGUCCAUCAAUACCAGGCGGGAGACUGUUAUUGAGCCACCGGUCGGCUCUAUCUAUCACAGGCCGGUGAGGAGCAGGUGCGGGCCGGGCGUGCGCCAUCAGACCCUGACGACGGGAAGCGGCGAGCGCCGAGGGAGGCCCCACAUGCACGUCGCAUGCACACUUUUCCAAUUUGCCAUAAUUAGCCCCCACACGGCCCGGGCUCUGACCGGCGGGAACCGCGGCCUCUGCUCUGGAUCAGCUGCGUUAAACCUCCUGUGACAUCUAAACUCUUAAUUCAUUGCUACAUUAACAGAGUCGAUUAACAUACGCGCGUAUCCCCUUGUGAUCUCUUAACGGGCACCUUGAUAUCAGCCGCCCGUCUGCCCAUCACAGAGAAGCCGUUUAAUUGGAGAGGUGUCACAGAUGAUACACUCCGAACAGCCAAAACAGACACGAAGAUCCCAAAUGUGACCCUCGUUUAGAUGCCAGACGCCUCCGACGGUUAUUUAGAGGAUAUUGCUGGAGAGAUUUCACAGCGUAGCGCGCCGUUUAACCAAUCAACGAAUUAUCAGAUCCACAAUCGGAGGAAUCAGCCAUAUUAGCAGGCAGUUGAAACACAAAUGCGCAGCCCUGAGGGUGCCGAGGAUUUGAUUUGGGAGACGAUAACAGCUCGAUGAACAAGCUCUGCGGUGCGUCUCCGUAGAGGAGCAGAACAUGUGCUGCAUAUCUGCAUAGAUUAGGGCUUCGCUGCUGCGAUUGGGACGUAAACUAAUAGUUGGUUUCAAACCUUGGUUUUGUCACUGCUGUUAUCUGAACAGUGCAAUCUGUUUGAAUCAAACUUUACAGCAGGUCUGUUCUGGUUCUUGCAGACAGCAAGGAAAAACAAUGCUCAAAACAGAUCAAACUAGCUAUAUAAUUGUGUAUAAAUAGGCUUUUAUUGUUGACGUCAAUCAAACUCCACUGUAAUUUGAUGCAAAAUAAAACUACACAAGGCCAAAAAACAUUAAAUACUUUCAAUAAGGAUAAAAAGUUUAAUUAUUAAACGUUUUCUAAACCGUGCAAUGUAUAAGUGCAAGAAUAAGUAUGUUUAGUCUGCAGUGUCACGU